UACGGGAGGCAGCAGUGAGGAAUAUUGGUCAAUGGGCGAGAGCCUGAACCAGCCAAGUAGCGUGCAGGAUGACGGCCCUAUGGGUUGUAAACUGCUUUUGAAGGGGAAUAAAAGGAUCUACGUGUAGAUUUUUGCAUGUACAUCGAUAGAUCGUCCAC
rnacentral:rRNA from 1 species